AGACCGUGACAUCGGCGAGGUCCGCGUCCCCCUCUCCGAUCUCCUCGCCGGUGCCGGCGAUGGCCCGCGGCCCGUCCAGUUCGUCAGCUAUCAGGUCCACGGGAUGACAUCCGGCAAGCCCAAGGGCGUCCUCAACUUCUCCUACAGCCUCAGCGAGCGGGUCUUGGCGCCCGCCACCGCGUCGGCCGCCGCCCCGUUCGACGCCCACCGGCCUCCGUUCACGUCAUACCCUGCGGUCUCCGCCUCGCACUCAGCGCCGUCCUCGGCGAAGGCGGAUGAGCCUGUGAUGGCGUACCCGCCGGGCCCCAGCUCGGCCCCGUAUCCCGCAUACGCGGCAGCGCCGCCGCCGUAUCCUCCACAGUCGGGGUACCAGCAAGCGCCACCAUAUGGGUACGGUUACGGGUACCCUCCGGCGGGGUACGGGUACGGGGCGGCGCCGGCACCGGUGGUACAGCCGCAGAGGAAGAACAGGCUCGGGAUGGGGUUGGGAGCGGGGCUCCUCGGCGGUGCCCUCGGCGGGCUUCUGAUUGGGGACAUGAUGUCCGACGCCUCCGCCUACGACGCAGGCUACGAUGCCGGAUUCGAUGAUGCCGGCGACUUCGGUUUCUAAAGAAGACGACUUCCUCUUCCCUCUUCGUUUCAUCAUGUCGUCGAUGUUGGUUAGUGCAAAUUAGUGAAUGUAUAAAGUUUAGAGUGUUCGAUAUUCAAUU
rnacentral:lncRNA from 1 species